rnacentral:rRNA from 1 species
UUGACCUCGAAUCAGGUAGGGAUACCCGCUGAACUUAAGCAUAUCAAUAAGCGGAGGAAAAGAAACCAACCGGGAUUACCCUAGUAACGGCGAGUGAAGCGGUAACAGCUCAAAUUUGAAAUCUGGCUCCCUGCGGAGUCCGAGUUGUAAUUUGUAGAAGAUGCUUUGGGUGCUCGGCCCGGUCUAAGUUCCUUGGAACAGGACGUCGUAGAGGGUGAGAAUCCCGUAUGCGGCCGGGGUGGGUGCUCGUGUAAAGCUCUUUCGACGAGUCGAGUUGUUUGGGAAUGCAGCUCAAAAUGGGUGGUAAAUUUCAUCUAAAGCUAAAUAUGGGCCAGAGACCGAUAGCGCACAAGUAGAGUGAUCGAAAGAUGAAAAGCACUUUGGAAAGAGAGUUAAACAGUACGUGAAAUUGUUGAAAGGGAAGCGCUUGCAACCAGACUUGGGCGUCGCUGAUCAUCCAAAGUUUUCUUUGGUGCACUCGACGACGUACAGGCCAGCAUCGGUUGGGGUGGUGGGAGAAAGGUUGUAGGAACGUAGCUCUUUUCGGGGAGUGUUAUAGCCUGCGACGCAAUGCCGCCUACCCUGACCGAGGACCGCGCUUCGGCUAGGAUGCUGGCGUAAUGGUUGUAAGCGACCCGUCUUGAAACACGGACCAAGGAGUCUAACAUCUAUGCGAGUGUUUGGGUGCGAAACCCAUGCGCGAAAUGAAAGUGAACGUAGGUGAGAACCCUUCGAGGGGGCAUCAUCGACCGAU